AAAGGAGCAAAGCAGCAGAUAAGUCAACGCCACCACCUCAACCACCCCGUCGCUGCUCCGCUCCGCUCCCCUUUCUUCAGCAACGGCGCCGCGAGGUAGAAGAAAAGCGACGAUGGUGCCCGCCUGUGGCGACCAGCCGACCACGACCUCGACACGACGCAGGCUGUUGUGGCCUAUGACAGGGCCACCAAUACCAUACUCCUCGACGUCGUCGGCGCACGGGAGAUGCCGUGGGACGCGGUGCCCGUAGCCAGCUUCGGACGGUGCGGCGACGGAAACCAAGCUGCUUCAACCUCACCUGCGUAUGACGCUCGUCCACGCGCAGCGACGCAGGAGAAAAAUACAUUGGCCAAAUCCAUUAGGAGAAAAAUACAUUGGCCACGCUAUGUGCGUUCCUUGUGAGGUGCUGCAGGGUAAUUCCUACGGAGCAGUGCAAGGGUUGUGACGGGGGCGAGACGAAGGCAGCCCGCAGCCGCAAUGUGUUCGAUGUUCUGCUCCAGCCAGUCACCUCUUCCUUUUUUUUUUAUUAGCACAUGGAGACGUAACUCGUAAGCUACGAGUGCUCAUUGCAUGAUUGCUAGACUAAGUUCAGUCCAUGUUUUAUUGUUAGGAAACCAUACCGCAAACCCUCUGACAGCAAUGGAGUAUAACAUCUCUCUGAACUCUGAAAUCUGAAUACAUGCUAUAGAUUUAAAGU